GACGAACGCUGGCGGCGUGCUUAACACAUGCAAGUCGAACGCUGACGCUUGGUGCUUGCACUGGGUGGAUGAGUGGCGAACGGGUGAGUAAUACGUGAGUAACCUGCCCUUGACUCUGGGAUAAGCCUGGGAAACUGGGUCUAAUACUGGAUACGACAUGCCACUGCAUGGUGGUGUGUGGAAAGGGUUUUACUGGUUUUGGAUGGGCUCACGGCCUAUCAGCUUGUUGGUGGGGUAAUGGCCUACCAAGGCGACGACGGGUAGCCGGCCUGAGAGGGUGACCGGCCACCCUGGGACUGAGACACGGCCCAGACUCCUACGGGAGGCAGCAGUGGGGAAUAUUGCACAAUGGGCGGAAGCCUAAUGCAGCGACGCCGCGUGAGGGAUGACGGCCUUCGGGUUGUAAACCUCUUUCAGCACGGAAGAAGCGAGAGUGACGGUACGUGCAGAAGAAGCGCCGGCUAACUACGUG
rnacentral:rRNA from 1 species